GAUGAACGCUGGCGGCGUGCUUAACACAUGCAAGUCGAACGAAGCACUUAAGAUUGAUUCUUCGGAUGACGUCUUUUGUGACUUAGUGGCGGACGGGUGAGUAACGCGUGGGUAACCUGCCUCACACAGGGGGAUAACAGUUAGAAAUGACUGCUAAUACCGCAUAACCCGAUAGGAUCGCAUGAUCCAGACGGAAAAGAUUUAUCGGUGUGAGAUGGACCCGCGUCUGAUUAGCUAGUUGGUGAGGUAACGGCCCACCAAGGCGACGAUCAGUAGCCGGCCUGAGAGGGUGAACGGCCACAUUGGGACUGAGACACGGCCCAAACUCCUACGGGAGGCAGCAGUGGGGAAUAUUGCACAAUGGGGGAAACCCUGAUGCAGCGACGCCGCGUGAGUGAAGAAGUAUUUCGGUAUGUAAAGCUCUAUCAGCAGGGAAGAAAAUGACGGUACCUGACGAAGAAGCCCUGGCUAACUACGUG
rnacentral:rRNA from 1 species